UACGUAGGGGGCUAGCGUUGCUCGGAAUCACUGGGCGUAAAGCGCACGUAGGCGGAUUGCUAAGUCAGGGGUGAAAUCCUGGAGCUCAACUCCAGAACUGCCUUUGAUACUGGCGAUCUCGAGUCCGGGAGAGGUGAGUGGAACUGCGAGUGUAGAGGUGAAAUUCGUAGAUAUUCGCAAGAACACCAGUGGCGAAGGCGGCUCACUGGCCCGGUACUGACGCUGAGGUGCGAAAGCGUGGGGAUCAAACAGG
rnacentral:rRNA from 1 species